rnacentral:rRNA from 1 species
UACGAAGGAUCCAAGCGUUAUCCGGAUUCAUUGGGUUUAAAGGGUGCGUAGGCGGUUUUGUAAGUCAGUGGUGAAAUCUCCUUGCUUAACAAGGAAACUGCCAUUGAUACUGCAGAACUAGAGUACAGAUGACGUUGGCGGAAUGUGUCAUGUAGCGGUGAAAUGCAUAGAUAUGACACAGAACACCGAUUGCGAAGGCAGCUGACGAAACUGCAACUGACGCUGAUGCACGAAAGUGAGGGGAUCAAACAGG